GGGUCUGGGUGCAGCCCCUGAGAGGGCUGCGGGCCCGGCGGCGCCCUUGGGGUGCCCGCGGCUUCCACGGCGAGGGCUUGAGGUGGGGGAAUCGCAAGGGCGGCCGCUUUUAUCGAUGAGUCGGUCGAUGUGCUCUUUCAAAAGGGUUUCCCCGUCCGUGGGCGGGAGACGCUGCCUCCCGACUCUGCCUCUGGGACCACGGACCUGCGACAGAUGUUCAGAUUUCACGCUGAGAGGUGAUAUGGAAAAUUAGUCAUAUUAUGCAGAAGCCUCUUACACAAGACUGCAAAAAUUAUUCUAAAUAUAGCAUUUGUUCAGUUAUCCUGCACUGUUACUUCCUGUUCAGUGAAAAUGUGAGCUUUAAACAUUACGUUCUCAGGGAAGUGGGAUGUCCUGGAGCCUUCCCCAAAAAUCAAAUAGAUAAGGAGUCUAGAAAAAAAUCGGGGUUUUGGAUUAUGCCACUUCUGCAAUGAAUGUAAGAGAGUGUUAAAAACAAAAAAUCAGCAAAUCUGUGAAGAGUUAUUAUGUAUAUCCAAUGAGAAAAUACAAGAAAAUACAUGGUACAAAAAGGAGCUUUCAGCAAGAAAACCAAAAAGGAAAGUGUACACUUACAACAGUAAGUUGAAUUUAAAAUAAAUAAAUAAAUAAUUGACAUUAGUAAUUUUUCCUGCUCUUAAACUCAUGGCUACUAGUCUUUAUACAUGCUCUGCUGAAUCAUAACUGUGAAGAUUUAUUUAAGACGAAGAUCGUUGAACUCACAUGUCAGCUCUGUGUAUUGUGUUAAUGUUACAGUUUUCAGGAAUGGGAUACUAAGCUAAACAGAA